rnacentral:misc_RNA from 1 species
UCCGGUUUAUCACCGGCAGUUCCCCAUGAGUCCCCGGCAUUACCCGCUGGCAACAUAGGGCAAGGGUUGCGCUCGUUGCGGGACUUAACCCAACAUCUCACGACACGAGCUGACGACAGCCAUGCACCACCUGUAUACCGACCACAAGGGGGGCCGUAUCUCUACGGCUUUCCGGUAUAUGUCAAACCCAGGUAAGGUGGGGAUGACGUUUCCAGGUUAGG